GAUGAACGCUGGCGGCGUGCUUAACACAUGCAAGUCGAACGGGAAUGUUUCGCUGAUGCGAUUUCGGUCAAAUCUUGAAGCAUUUUAGUGGCGGACGGGUGAGUAACGCGUGGGUAACCUGCCCUGUACAGGGGGACAACAGUUGGAAACGACUGCUAAUACCGCAUAAGCGCACAGCUUCGCAUGAAGCAGUGUGAAAAACUCCGGUGGUACAGGAUGGACCCGCGUCUGAUUAGAUAGUUGGUGAGGUAACGGCCCACCAAGUCAACGAUCAGUAGACGGCCUGAGAUGGCGAACGGCCACAUUGGGACUGCGACACGGCCCAAACUCCUACGGGAGGCAGCAGUGGGGAACAUUGCACAAUGGGGGAAACCCUGAUGCAGCGACGCCGCGUGAGUGAAGAAGUAUUUCGGUAUGUAAAGCUCUAUCAGCAGGGAAGAAAACAAUGACGGUACCUGACUAAGAAGCCCCGGCUAACUACGUGCCAGCAGCCGCAGUAA
rnacentral:rRNA from 1 species